rnacentral:rRNA from 1 species
AUUGAACGCUGGCGGGAGGCCUAACACAUGCAAGUCGAACGAGUGGCGGACGGGUGAGUAAUGUAUCGGAACGUGCCCAGUGGCGGGGGAUAACUACUGGAAAGAGUAGCUAAUACCGCAUACUAUUGGAUCUGCCGAUAUGGGAUUAGCUAGUUGGUGGGGUAAAGGCUCACCAAGGCAACGAUCCGUAGCUGGUUUGAGAGGACGACCAGCCACACUGGAACUGAGACACGGCCCAGACUCCUACGGGAGGCAGCAGUGGGGAAUAUUGGACAACGGGGGCAACCCUGAUGCAGCCAUCCCGCGUGUAUGAGAAGGCCUUCGGGUUGUAAAGUACUUUUGGCAGUGAAGCGGUAUCCGCAGAAGAAGCACCGGCUAACUACGUGCCAGCAGCCGCGGUAAUUC